ncrna:unclassified sequences raiA RNA
UGCUGUCGGGUCUGUGGUUGAAAGUCGAUGCCAGUCGCAGGCAAAGCGAUCCACGUAAGGUGUUUAAAAGAAUACUGAGCAUGGUGCGGCUUAGAAGUAAGUCCGUCCAGAACUUGAUUCUGAGAGGGUUAGUAGUGGGGCACUGAGGUGUAUGAGCGAAAACUCCAGACGGCGAGUGUGGGGUCAAAGACCAGGUCAGCCGAUUGUU